AGCACUUGGGCACGCACAGGUGGUGGGGUCAUCAAGGGAAUGGUGGGGCUAAGUAGUGUGUGGCAUCCCCAACCAUGUGUGAUGGUGCUGGUAAUCACCGGCGAUCACCGGUUUGCAAAAUAGUAAAUGCAGCUAAUUUCACAAAACGACUAAUCAUAUUAUUUAUGUUGUUUAUAAUUAUGUGUUUGAACAAAAGCAGAUCUUAAUAUUUGAUGCAGGCAGGAUCUCCGCAGUUGAUCACGAACGGGUUUUUAUUGUGCUAAACGAUCCAUAUUACAAUUUUAAGAAUACAAAAAAUGAUGCGAUAUUAAAAUUACUUUUAAGACCGCAUAAUAAAAUGCAACAACUGACGUUUGAAAAUGAAAGUUUCGUGAUCUGGAUAAAAAUCGAUCCCCUUUGUCAUUGCCGGUAAAAUUGAGGCAGUUGUGGACAGGAUAACUCUUUUCAACUCAGGCGGCUCGAAAACUUUUGAAAAGAAGAAGAAAAAAAAGGUAUAACCGUACAUGUAUACAAGAGAAAAAAUUCUAAGGUAACUAUUAGUUUCCCUGAUAGGAUCGGCGGCGGUCUGACAUUUGGAGAGGAUGCCGGACUAUCAUAAAAAUAGGUUACCGGAGGAGCUGCAAUCGGGAACGAUUUGGGGUGGGGGGGUAUAUAUUUCC
rnacentral:lncRNA from 1 species